GCGAAUUUGAACAACAUUAUUGUAGCCCAUUGUAAGUUUUAGUUCACUCCCCUAAUUAUUAAUAAAAAUAAUAUCGUUUGUUAAAAUAAAAAAGGGGGUAGUUUGGCAAUUAUGAAAACUUUCUGAGGCUAGGUCAAACAUGGGGUGUCACAUUCUCUCUUUCUGUGAUAGACCUUCUCUCCUUUUGUGAGAGCUUCUUCCCCCAGUCUUGGUGAGGGUCUUCAUCUUGCCCACCUUCUCUAGUGCCGACUCUAGCUUCGGCUGGAGUCGGUCGCCCCUUCUCCCUUCCUCCUCCUGUUUUCUCCUCCUUUUCCCUUCUCUACCAGUUCCUUUCUCUUCUUCUUCUUCUUUCCGAUCUGGCCAACACCACCACCUUCUCACUGUCUCUUCUUUUCUAGCAAUGUUGUUUGUGGGUUGUCACGAACUUCAUCCUAAUAGUUGGCUUCUUCCAACCUCUUGCUGGCUAUCCUUUCUUUGUGGUUGUGCUCGGGACGUUCAUCGAGGUGAGAUGCUGCAAUUACUCUGGCGAUGCUUGGCUGUGGAUGAGGACUUGAUCGAUUCGCGAUCGGCGGCAACUAGUGUAGAACUUUCUUGUGUUUGUGGUCUUUUGUGCGUUUUGGGCUUCAACUUCUGGUUGGCCCUUUGUAGUUUAUUUUUUGGCCUUGUGGUUUGCUUGUUUAUGUGUGUUGUUUGGGUCUUGGGUUUGCUUAUGUAUAUGUUUUAGUUUGUAACAAAAGUGAAGAAGCAUUUUUUCAAAAAAAAAAAAAAAAAAAAAAAAAAAAAAACUGGGUGUCAAUUUCAACGGCUUCUGCCUUUUGGCAACAAUGGCAGGCAGGCGUGCAGCGCAGGACAUGACACUGGGCAGCCUUGGGAUUGGGAAGCUGGGCAGGAUCUAUGGCUCGAUAAACGACGUACGCGAUUGGAUGAGACGUGUUAAGAAAACGCCCAGAAUCUGUGUCGUUCAGGGUAGAGUGAUACGUACGUAGGGGUCGUAUUAUAUGAUUUAAUUGUUUUUUUAUUUUUUUUGGUAAUUUUUCUGACAACAGAUAUGGGAAAACCAAAUGCGUAAUCAUUGUACUUGUAGUUGUAGGUCAUGUCCUAAACCUUUCCAUAUUUCUGUUUCGACCCACUUUGUUUUUUUCAUGUCAUGUCCUAAACGAAAAUUAAAUUUUCAUGUA